UACGUAGGGUGCAAGCGUUGUCCGGAAUUAUUGGGCGUAAAGAGCUCGUAGGCGGUUUGUCGCGUCUGCUGUGAAAACCCGAGGCUCAACCUCGGGCCUGCAGUGGGUACGGGCAGACUAGAGUGCGGUAGGGGAGAUUGGAAUUCCUGGUGUAGCGGUGGAAUGCGCAGAUAUCAGGAGGAACACCGAUGGCGAAGGCGGUGGUCUGGGCCGUUACUGACGCUGAGGAGCGAAAGCCAGGGGAGCGAACGGG
rnacentral:rRNA from 1 species